UAUAAGCAACUUGUACUGUGAAACUGCGAAUGGCUCAUUAAAUCAGUUAUCGUUUAUUUGAUAGUACCUUACUACAUGGAUACCUGUGGUAAUUCUAGAGCUAAUACAUGCUAAAAACCCCGACUUCAGGAAGGGGUGUAUUUAUUAGAUAAAAAACCAACGCCCUUCGGGGCUCCUUGGUGAAUCAUAAUAACUUAACGAAUCGCAUGGCCUUGCGCCGGCGAUGGUUCAUUCAAAUUUCUGCCCUAUCAACUUUCGAUGGUAGGAUAGUGGCCUACCAUGGUGGCAACGGGUAACGGGGAAUUAGGGUUCGAUUCCGGAGAGGGAGCCUGAGAAACGGCUACCACAUCCAAGGAAGGCAGCAGGCGCGCAAAUUACCCAAUCCCGAUACGGGGAGGUAGUGACAAUAAAUACUGAUACGGGGCUCUUUUGGGUCUCGUAAUUGGAAUGAGAACAAUUUAAAUCCCUUAACGAGGAACAAUUGGAGGGCAAGUCUGGGCCAAG
rnacentral:rRNA from 1 species